UCCCCAGUGGCUCAGAUGGUAAAGCACCUGCCUACAAUGUGGGAGACCCAGGUUCAAUCCCUGGGUCAGGAA
rnacentral:tRNA from 1 species